UACGGAGGGUGCGAGCGUUGUCCGGAAUCAUUGGGCGUAAAGGGCGCGUAGGUGGCCCGGUCAGUUCGUGGUGAAAGCGCGGGGCUCAACCCUGCGUCGGCCAUGAAUACUGCCGCGGCUGGAGCACUGUAGAGGCAGGCGGAAUUCCGGGUGUAGCGGUGGAAUGCGUAGAUAUACGGAGGAACACCAGCGGCGAAGGCGGGUAGCUGGGCCAACACUGACGCUGAUGUGGCGAAAGCUAGGGGAGCAAACGGG
rnacentral:rRNA from 1 species